UACGUGGGAAAUUGUGCUAGAGAUGGCCCUCAAUCUAUCCAGCUGAAAGUCUCCCUCAAGACACCAGCUUUGGUCCUGACCAUGGGGUGCACAAUGUGGGUGAUGCAGUAAUGUUUUAUACUGCUGGUGUACCUAUUCCCCUUGUCUAGCUGAGAAGAAACUUCUCUGAAGAACCUUAUUCACAUUCCUUCCCCACCUGGAAAACACCAGGAGAGAAGCGUAAUGAUAGGAUCCACUAUGGCGUCACACUGGUUUAUACAAAAGAGUCUGAGAGAAACUUAGAUGAAGGUGUGCUUUUCUGUCUGCUUGAAGUCAAGAGCACUGAAAAUAGAUAGAAAUGUCAGAACUUGGUGAGUUCCUUGAAACUGUACUUAACCCAUGACUUUUGACCUACACAUGUACACAGCCGCUCUGGAAGUCGGGAGGAGAUGAAGCUGGCUGGCAAAAUGCAUUGAUUGAUGAAGACAGAGUGUCGACAAAUGAUUAUAUGAUCUGCUCAAAUCAAAAGAAAAUUCAAUUCACAGACUGAACAAGCAUUUAGAUGGCAUUAAGGAUGAGAUAGAAACCAACAAGUCAGGAAAUUCUGCAGUGAGAAGCGUGUCCUAUCUGUGAGUUUUCUAACUGCUGUAAGUUUAUGCCACAAAUGUAAUUAUUCAGCUACAGUUAUCAUGUGUGUCCUAAUUUUUUCAUUUGUGACACAGUGUCUUAGAAAAUACAUUUUUAGCAUCAACUGUGUAAAAUAAUUUCUUUUCAUAAAUACAACACAAUGCAUUUAACAUACUCAACUCACAGAGUAUGUACCUGUGGGUAUUUUUUGAUGUAUCUAAUAAUAUUUUGGUAUGAGUCAUUAUACAAAACAAGAAAAAAAUAGGGGUGCCUUUUGCAGAAGAUAACUCUGAAUAAGAUUUUGAUAACCAAGUGUGCUUAUUUUGUUAACCGCUUUGCGUAUACAUAGAUCACACAAUCACCAUGCCUGUCUACUCAGAGAAACAGUGUUUUGGUUUCAGAGGAUGCAUUAUCGUAUAAAUUGUUUAUGGUUCACAUAGUGAACAAAAUGUUUCAAAUGGAAAUCUAUAGCUUUAAAUUAAGUGUGAAAUUUUAAAAAGGGCAACAUUUACUUAUUCUGUAUCUAAUCUUUCUAACAGUCUCGGUAGUUGCAUGCACUCACACACACAAAGGCACACAAACACUCUUUUUUAUCUUUAUUGUGACUUUAAUUUUUUCAAGAGAAGAAAAAUCCCCAAACUGAAAGCCUAGCAUUGGCAUUGCUCCAGCAGCGAAGGCUGAAUUGGAUGCUCGUGUCAGCUGCACAUCUGGCUUCUGCCAGGCAGCUCCAGUUUUACCCUGCAGACCUUGCUGGAAUGGCCACAGCCUCACCCAGUCCCUACUCUGGCCUUUUGCUAUCCUGAAAAAACAUCCAGUGUGAGAAGAGAUUUCAGGUGCUCCAAACUGAGUGGGCUGGAGAUCUGAACUUUGAGGGUUGUUCUAAUCAUGCCCACGGACUUUGCUUUGGAGUAUUGACUCAGUCCAUUUCUUUGUAUUUUUAAAAUACAUGUUGUCAUCCAAUAAUGUUAUGCCGCACCCAGGGGCAAAGGCAAGACUCUGGGCUUGUUUCUGCAUCCUCUUCUGAGACUGCUGUUGGACAGAAGAGUAGGAUUCCCAUCAAUACAAAGACAUUUCACACCAGAAUUCUAGUAACUGAAGUUUCAGAAUGCACUGGGACAUGUUUGUGUAUGAGGUAUUGCAUUUUUCCUGGGAGGAAUUGCAUCUCAUUUCAUCUAUUUUCAUCCUUUGGACUUCUGCUCAAUCUAAACUCCAUUAGAUAUCCAGCUCCUUUUAAAUUAGGUCAAAGAUAUCCCAUCUCAGGCCUUGGGAGACUUCACAGGUCAGGGAAGAAUGUCCUCACUCAAGUCAGCUAUGCCUGGGCAUGUUAAAUAAAGCCUGGCCAGAGAAAAUAAAGCCUGGCCAGGGAAAAUAGUGCUGGAACAAAUAUCUGACUUCUCAGAAUACAUAUUUGCCAAUGAUGAAGCAGCUGAAUUGUAGCAGAUUAAGUGUUUUUUUUUAUCAAUCCUGACAUUUGUUUCCUUAGGUGUUUCAAUUCAAAAUUUCCUAGCUCUCAAAAAACAGGUCCUUGAAAGUAUAUUUUUCUGCAAACUCAUUUAUGUUGGUGAAAUGGAUGAAAUGAAAAAUGUAGCUAUUGUAAUAAUUAAUACUACUAAUGCUGCUCUUAUUACUAUUUUUGUUCAUCCUUAUAAAAGUGUCUAAGGAUUUAAUGAUGGCAAAAGAGUGGCUGCAUCUAAGUGUGUAUGUCCAUUACGUUAACAACCUUUCUGUCUGCUCUGAGUGUGUUUAGCAGUAUUUUUACUUUGACAACUCUAACACUUUCCUGAAUAAUAACAAUAACAACAAUAAUAAAAAUUAAAAUCUUUUUGUUUACUCCACUGUAUAAGUCAGUGCAAUCAAAUUUCAACCGGAGCACAAGACACUUAAGGGUGACGCUAUUCUUCUUGAUAGAGUUGGGGCCCCAUCAGAAUUAGGGGACAUUUAUUUUAAUUCAUUCCCUCGGGGAUGUAGAACCCUUGAAAAGGGUUCCAAAAUUAUAUUGACCUACACAGUACUUUCUUCAAGGGACAUAUUCUAAAUCUGUUUUUUGCUCUGUUUCAUAUUGAAAACGCGCUAAUGCAUUGAAAUUGCUGCAUAGCUGCAGAAAAAUGCACUUAAACCUAAAGGUGACAUUUAGUAGCAAGACAAAAAGUAAAAGUGGAUUUGAAGUGACAGGCGAAGCUAGAAUAGCAAAUAUGUUGUUCAGACACUGGUAUUUUAUGUAUGGCCAUUACUUGCAUAAGUGAUGAUUCAGCGGGAAGACCUUAAUUGAGAUUGGAGCCCCAUGAUGCCAAGUGCCACACUGCAUGGAUGUGGAACACAGGCCCUGCCUCAAACAAAAUUCCAGCUUACAAACAAAAAGUAGAGUGGAAGAAAUAAUGGAAGUAAAACCAAGCCAGGACUAGUACACUCCAUCCUAACUCCAUUUCUUAUGGCUACUGUCCCACAAAAUUAGUUUGACAAAUCUAUGUAUGUCAGCUGUCUCUCUGAUUUCAUCUGGUUCUGCCUUCAAAGUUGGCAAAUUUUCAAGAUGCCUAGCUUACACUCUUAGCCAGUUUUUUUAAAAUAUCUUUUACUCAUGGAUUUUUUUCAGAGAAGUUAAGCACCUAGCUCCCAUCAUUUCCAAGGGAGGCAGGCUUCGGAGCCCUUUCAGAAGGAUCAUCUCGAUUUUUGCAGUGCUGACUGCUGUAGCAAUUACUGUAUUUAAAAGAAGGCAGAAAACUGCAUAUAUUGAAAUGAUGAUGGGAACAUGCCCUGGCAUAAGUCCCGACUGCCAACUUCAACAAAUCUGAGACACCUCACUGCAACACUACCAUGAUACUUAGUGAUGAUCUUCCCAGCUCCUAUUUGGACCCUGGGUUGGGGUUUAUGUAAACUAACUACAGAUGUUGAAAACCUACAGUCCUCAAAAAGCCAGCCAUGGAAAAUGAAUUGUGGAAAAGAGGCACUUCGGGGUAUAUAUCAUCUCACCCAAAAGGAGGAGUCCAAAAUAAGUCAGAUGAGUUUCCAUUUUACAGCAAGCUCUAUCUGCAUCUCAAAAUCAGUUACUCCUGUUGUAAAACUACUCCAGACUACCACUCCAGUGAACAUUAACCCAAGCUUGCUACUCACUGGGCGACAAGAGUGCCUGAGUCUCCCUUGUGAAUCUAGUGCAAAGGGAUUUAAACCAUGGAAGUGCCAAUUUAAUAAUGAUCCUAUAAAUAGACUGUGCAUUACUCACUUGAAGCAAUUCAGUACAGAAAUACAAAUCUGGGUCAGCAGUAUCUUAAAUGAACUGUACCAUUCUUGAAUCAUAAAGCUUCAUUUCUCAGCUAAUAAACAGUACAUCGUGGUCUUUU